CCUACGGGAGGCAGCAGUGAGGAAUAUUGGUCAAUGGCCGGAAGGCUGAACCAGCCAAGUCGCGGGAAGGAAGAAGGAUCUAUGGUUUGUAAACUUCUUUUAUAGGGGAAUAAAGGGAUCCACGUGUGGAUAUUUGCAUGUACCCUAUGAAUAAGCAUCGGCUAACUCCGUGCCAGCAGCCGCGGUAAUACGGAGGAUGCGAGCUUUAUCCGGAGUUAUUGGGUUUAAAGGGUGCGUAGGUGGUUUGUUAAGUCAGCGGUGAAAGUUUGUGGCUCCACCAUAAAAUUGCCGUUGAAACUGGCAGCCUUGCGUGUGUUUGCGGUCGGCGGAAUGCGUGGUGUAGCGG
rnacentral:rRNA from 1 species